rnacentral:rRNA from 1 species
CUUGUUACUCCACGCUAUAAAUGAUGAGUGAUAAGUGGGAGAGCGUCUCCCCCUUUUAGUGCUGCAGUUCACGCAUUAAGCACUCCCCCUGGGGAGUAUGGUCGCAAGAUUGAAACUCAAAGGAAUUGACGGCCGCCCGCACAAGUGGUGGAGCAUGUGGUUUAAUUAGAAGCAACGCGAAGAACCUUACCAGGUCUUGACAUCUUGUGACAACUGUAGAGAUAGAGUGUUCCCCUUCGGGCGACAGAGUGACAGGUGGUGCAUGGUUGUCGUCAGCUCGUGUCGUGAGAUGUUGGGUUAAGUCCCGCAACGAGCGCAACCCUUGAUCUUAGUUGCCAGCAUUUAGUUGGGCACUCUAAGGUGACUGCCGGUGACAAACCGGAGGAAGGUGGGGAUGACGUCAAAUCAUCAUGCCCCUUAUGACCUGGGCUACACACGUGCUACAAUGGAUGGUACAAAGGGCUGCACGACCGCGAGGUCAAGCCAAUCCCAUAAAACCAUUCUCAGUUCGGAUUGUAGGCUGCAACUCGCCUACAUGAAGCUGGAAUCGCUAGUAAUCGCGGAUCAGCAUGCCGCGGUGAAUACGUUCCCGGGCCUUGUACACACCGCCCGUCACACCACGAGAGUUUGUAACACCCGAAGUCGGUGGAGUAACUAGUAUAGGAGCUAGCCUCCUUUAGUUUUCCCGCCGCCC